AGGGGGAUAACUACUGGAAACGGUAGCUAAUACCGCAUAACGUCUUCGGACCAAAGUGGGGGACCUUCGGGCCUCACGCCAUCAGAUGUGCCCAGAUGGGAUUAGCUAGUAGGUGGGGUAAUGGCUCACCUAGGCGACGAUCCCUAGCUGGUCUGAGAGGAUGACCAGCCACACUGGAACUGAGACACGGUCCAGACUCCUACGGGAGGCAGCAGUGGGGAAUAUUGCACAAUGGGCGCAAGCCUGAUGCAGCCAUGCCGCGUGUGUGAAGAAGGCCUUCGGGUUGUAAAGCACUUUCAGCGAGGAGGAAGGGUAGUGUGUUAAUAGCACAUUGCAUUGACGUUACUCGCAGAAGAAGCACCGGCUAACUCCGUGCCAGCAGCCGCGGUAAUACGGAGGGUGCAAGCGUUAAUCGGAAUUACUGGGCGUAAAGCGCACGCAGGCGGUUUGUUAAGUCAGAUGUGAAAUCCCCGCGCUUAACGUGGGAACUGCAUUUGAAACUGGCAAGCUAGAGUCUUGUAGAGGGGGGUAGAAUUCCAGGUGUAGCGGUGAAAUGCGUA
rnacentral:rRNA from 3 species